CGACCUGCUGGCGCAGGUACGCGCCGCCUUCGAGGCGCCCUCGCUGUACGACGAGGCGCUGCGGUUCCUGGCCCGCAGCGGCCUGGCC
rnacentral:tRNA from 6 species